rnacentral:hammerhead_ribozyme from 1 species
AUCCAGCCGGCGAGUUCAAAAUAGGACGAAGCAUGCGUCCUGGAU